CCCAGUUCUCCCUUAAAAAUACUUGGGGGAAGAAAGUGCUUGACUACUCACAGUCCUGUGAUGACCUGUGGCGGAAGGUAAACCGAAGGUGACUGCGGUUAACGUCCUCGAUGGGAAUGGCCACCUUCAAGAAUUGAAAAAGAAGUUUAAGCACUGUUAUCAAUAUCAUCCAGCGUAACAGCUUUAUUCAACUGGAGCUAUCAGAGAAAUAUGCAACUGCGAAGUUCUCAUGGGAGAAGUCCUGAGCACACUGCAAGGCAUCCUGGGACCACAGUCUCAAGGGUCACAGAGGAAGGGACUUCGGGGCUGAGACCUGCAGGAAGUGAGGGAACUGCAGGCCUGUCCUCACCCAGGGGAGGUGGAGCCCCCAGACGCUGUGAUAUGAAAUUCCAGAUUAUGGGAGGGAGAGUUUGAAGAAGGAAGAACCACCAAUAGAAAGCGGUCCCCAAAGAGGUAUCGGGGAUGGCACCCAGACAGGAGCACAUGUACCACUGCCCAGAAUGUGCGUUUCACUAGACAAGUGACCACAAAACUUUUCACUGUGACUUGAAAAUGCCCACUCCUCCCAGAAGUUCAAGGAACUGGACCCCUGGACAUGAGCCCAAGGUUCGCCGGCUUCAAAGAUCUUGGCCACACACCAGUGAGCCUGGCAGAGGCAGGCUUCUGGUCCUCUUUCCCAGUGAUUUCCUGCUGGCCUGACACCAAACUCCACUUUCCCUGAAUGACUCUAAUAAAAGUUUAUCAAAACUC
rnacentral:antisense_RNA from 1 species